rnacentral:rRNA from 1 species
CCUACGGUGGGCAGCAGUGAGGAAUAUUGGUCAAUGGGCGGGAGCCUGAACCAGCCAAGCCGCGUGAAGGAAGAAGGCGCCAGGCGUCGUAAACUUCUUUUGUCGGGGAACAAAGGGCGCCACGCGUGGCGUUGUGAGUGUACCCGAAGAAAAAGCAUCGGCUAACUCCGUGCCAGCAGCCGCGGUAAUACGGAGGAUGCGAGCGUUAUCCGGAUUUAUUGGGUUUAAAGGGUGCGCAGGCGGAUUUUUAAGUCAGCGGUCAAAUCGUGGGGCUCAACCCCAUCCAGCCGUUGAAACUGGGGAUCUAGAGUGUGCGAGAGGUAUGCGGAAUGCGUGGUGUAGCGGUGAAAUGCAUAGAUAUCACGCAGAACCCCGAUUGCGAAGGCAGCAUACCGGUGCACAACUGACGCUCAGGCACGAAAGCGUGGGUAUCGAACAGGAUUAGAUACCCUGGUAGUC